rnacentral:ribozyme from 1 species
UGCCCAGCAACUCCUAUCCCUACCUCCUCGUGGUACUGGCCGGGGUACGAGUAACCUUGGGGAAGAUCGGGUAACCAACCCCCAGUGGGAAGGGAACUUUGGUCGUAUGCUGACAGGAAAGG